GUUGCGUAUGUGUAGAUAAGUGUAGCUGCCCAGAGAGGCCAGAGGUGGCUGAUCCUCCUGGAUCAGGAAUAUAGGCAGGAGAGACUACGGUGGGCACUAAGAAUUGAACGGAGGUCUUCUGCAAGAGCAGGGGGUGUUCUUAACCACCAAGCUCUUUCUCCAGCCCUGGAAGUUUUUUAAACUAGUAAAUAAAUAAAAUUUUAACCUAGGACCAAAGGAAGCGGCCACUUGCUCCUCCCUCUUGGAUGCCUCCUCCCUCAGUCUCAACCUGCCACUCCAUCUAUGUGACCUUGGACAGAGCGGCCCUCUUCUAUGUAAUCUGUCACAUGGAUUCCUAACCUGACUAUGUUGUGGACAAACAGCCUGAAAUUCUCCAGGAGAGCACGGUAAGUACAGCCAGCCAGUCUUCAUGGUCUGAGUUAAUCAUUAGGGCUCUGUAACCACGAAUGGGAAACACAACUGGCCACUGGCCACUGGUAAUGGACUUCCCAGGAUGCUUGUUCCUCCAGCACAAGGAUGGUUAAUUAGGGCAAUGAAAGCAAGUGUGACUCUGUAAAUUCCAGACUGACUUCCUGCUCCUACUCAGCUCCCUCAGGCAAGUGAUGUCAUGUCAUUCUCUUGGCUACCUUUCCUGAGCACCAAAGGACAAUGAAUGACCCAGGGAACACGUGUCACCUGUGUUCCUUACCAUUACCUGCUGGGAAUCAGUAUAAACUCAGGCCGCUGAGAGCCAAGACACCUGCCUCCUUCUGCACCUUGCUCCGGGUCCUUAGCAUGCAUGGGAAGGAGCCUCCAUAGGUCCACGUCAUAGGUGAGACCCUUCAGAAUGCUCUGAUGGUGAGACUGAGACCUAUCAACCUUCACACCUGUGACAUAAAAACCUGUGUACACCCUAUCAGGGUGAUAGUGCACAUACAAGCCACCCUCAUAGACCUUCUCCUGUCCAGCAUCCCUAGAGGUGGAGACAGAAGCCAAGGCAAGGGAGGUGUGAUUAUCAAAGGCCACCCACCUCCAGUGCUCAGCUUCCUGGCCAUGUUUGAUAGUUUCCUUUUGGUUGUUGUUUUGGGGGUUUGUUUUUCAAGAUAGAGGAGCUUUGUUUGUUUUUCAAGAUAGAAUUUCUCUGUAUAGCCCUGGCUGUCCUGAACUUUCUCUGCAAAUCAAGCUGGUGUUGAACUCAUUAAUCUGCUUGCCUCUGGCUCUUGAGUGCUGGGAUUAAAGGGGUGUGCCACUACCUGGAUCAUUUUCCAACUAGAAGUAAACCAAGGCCAAAAAUCUCACUGACCCAGAAACAUCCAAACAAAAUGUGGCCUGUCUAUCCAAUGUUGUUCACCCCUAAAAAGAUAGGCAAUUCUGGUAUACAUACAUAUACAUAUACAUACAUAUAUACAUACAUACAUAUAUAUAUAUAUAUAUACAUACAUACAUACAUAUACUAUAAGUGACCCCUGAGGCCAUGACACCAAGUGAAAGAGGUUAGAGUCCCAAAAUGAGGCAUGAUGCCACCAAUGUGACAUCCUUAAUAGUGUUAUAUCCAUAAACGCAGGGGACAGACUAGUUACCGGGUUCUGGGGAGGAGGGAGAGGAACUGUUUAAUGGGGACAGAGUCUCAGUACAGGAAGAUGCUGCAGAUGAAUGGCGGGGAUGGCUGCACAGCCACCUGAGUUGCACCCUAUACUUAGAACGACCAGAGUGAUGGAUUUUAUAUUGAGCAUAUUCUGUCACAGGAAAAAAGGACAUAUGUACAACCUGGUGGUGCUGAAGAUAUGAUGCUGAGUGACAAAGAAGCCAGGCACAAAAGGUCACACAUCAUGUGCUUCUUUUUACAGAACAUGUCCAGAUUGUAGACUUCCAAAGUGUCUCCCCCUCUGAAUGCCGCCAUGCUUCAUCACAUGACCUUCCCUGGAGGAAUGGAAAGAGAAGAGGCAUCUAUUCUGCCCACACAGAGAGGGCACCAAUGGAACGAUUCCACACAGCCCAGCCUGGUGUCCUAAAGCAAUCACUGGGGUGAUUCACAAGAUCGUGGAUGAUUCAAAGGCAGCUCCACCAGUGAGAAGCCCACUGGGCACCAAUACCACUGAAGAGUCGACUACACCUGCUGCAUGGACAACUCAACAAAAGAUGUGCCACUGAAGGCAGUCUCACUGUGCAGUGAACAGCAGCAACCCCACCCAAGAACACUACCUCCUGAAUUAGCCUUCCGAUGGGGAGGGAGCAGUGAGGAGCCCUGAAGGCUGUGAGCAGCAGCAGCAGCAGCAGCAGCAGCAGCAGCAGCAGCAGCACACCAUGGGUCUGCCCCCUCCCAGAGGAUGUGAAUAGAUACAAUCUCAGAAAGACCUGGUGUCAGAAGAAGAGCAGUGAUCACGUUUAAUAUGAGUCUGAAGCCGCACAGCACACUGAGUUACAAGGAGGACACCCUCGCACUGCCACACUUCCUCUGUGUGGAAGGUUCCCCUACUGCCUCUCCCGUUUCUUCCCAGCCCCUCUCUUGGGCUUCACAUGCCUCUGCCUUGCGUUGCAGCCCACUCCACCUUCUCUGGGUCCAAAGGCUGGGACCCUGGAUUUUCAAGUGCUCUGUCGAGGUCCAGGGGGAAAAAAAGAAACUGGCAAUCUACGAUCUGGGAGAACAGGUGGGCCUAGUCCCUAAGGCUCUGCUUCAAGUUCUGAACCAGCCCAGAUACUCAGAAUAAUAUACCAGCAGCCCGUCCUAUCCAACUGGACAUUUGGACCGCAGGAGCUAAACCGUGAGGCCAGCAAGGCAAGUGUGACUUGGAAUGGUCAGGGAAGCCUUGAUAGAGUAUCUACACCCUAAGCAGGUUCUGCUGCUCCAAACGCACUGCCUGGGCAUGCAGGGAAACACCCAACUCCUGCCUAAGGGGCCUGUCCCAGUCUGCUUUCUAUCGCUGUGAUAAAUAGCACAACCAAAAGCAACUUAGGGAGUAUGGUGGUAUGAAUAAGCAUGACCCCCUAUCCCAUGGGCUUGCUCGUAUCUGAAAGUUUAACCACCAGGAAACAGCACUGUGUGAAAGGGUUAGAAGGACUGGAGGAAGUGUGUCUCUGGGAGUGGGCUUUGCACGGCCUCUGCUCCAGCCCUUCCCCACAUGCUGCCAUGCUCUCUGCCAUGAUGGCAGUGGACUAAAGCUCUGAAACUGUAACCUAGCCCCCAACUAGAAGCUUUCUCUUACAACGGCUGCCUUGGUCUACUGCUCUUCACAGCAACAGAACCCGGGCCAUGUCAGGGAGGAAAGGGUUAUCUCCACUUACGGCUUCCAUUGUGAAGGAAAUGCAGGCCAGAAACUCAAGCAGGAACCUGGAGGCAGGCACUGAAGCAAAGGCCAUGGAAGAAUGCGACUUAUAGGCGUGCUCCUUCUGGCUUCCUCUGCUAGCUUUCCUAUAUACCCCAGAACCAUCUGCCCAGGAAUGGCACUGCUCAUGGGGAGCUGGCCUUUUCAAACCAGUCAAGGAAAUGCCUCCUCCAAGACUUGACCAUCAGCCAGUCUGACAGAGGUCAUUCCUCAAUUUAGAUUCUCUCUUCUCAAAUGACUCUAGUUUGUGUCGCUUUGAUAAAAAGCUAAACAGACAAGGCUUGAGUCUACAGUUCCUCGUCACCUGUUUCAGCAGCCACAGACCCUUGAGUGCCUCUGCUCAGUAGCCUCUAAGAAGCCGGGUCUAGCUUCCUCCGCUCCUAACCGGCUUCCCACUACCAUCUUCACAACACCUUGGGUCCUGUGCUUUCUCUAAGGAGGAAGAAACCAAGAUGACUAGACAAGCACAGGAGAAUGACGGGGUUGAGGACCCUGGCUCCAGAGGUCUACACGCCCCACCUGAGCCAGCCCCAUGUCACUCAGAACCUUUAUAAAGUCCCACCUUACCCCCUGCAGAAAGGAGGCCACAUACCAGAAUCCCUUGGCCUACUGUGUCUUCUCUUUAGGGUAGGAAAAAAACCACUUACUCCCAAUUAACUCAUCUCCCAGGACCUCUAGACCCACACCUCUGUGCCUGACCUCUGACCUCCAGCAAUGUAAGCCUAGAGGACUAAACAACAGGAUCAGGACUGGCCUCCAAACUCCAUAAACGGAGAGGAUCCUAGUGCAUGUGAACCUAUCUCAGGGAAUCUGCUGUCAGGCUACAAAGCCCUCUGGCUUCUUUUUGGAAAGCAAAAAAUUCAGACCAAACAGAAGAGGAACUCUAUUUCCCUCUUGGAGAAAAUUUAAAAAAAAAAAAAAAAAAAAAACAUGAAAAGAAGCAACACACACAAACUCAAACUUCGAAGUUCUUUGUACUGUUUAAGUCACAACCAGAUACGAAAACACUGGCAGAUUAAAAGCAAUAACAGCAAAACCCACGGUUUGGUCACUUACAGCAGUGUGACUCAACACAAAUAGGUACAUGAGGAAUGGGGACCUCCUUAUGCCUGGAGUCUGAGCCAGCGGCUAACACACUGAGGGCUGGGAUUGAAAUCGUGAAACGGCAUGGGCAAAGCAUGACUGAGGACCCACCGGUGCCCUCAGUGCCCUCAGUGCCUUCCUGCUGACCACAGGUCUUGGGGAGUUUCGAACCAUGCUAAGGCAUCACACAAAGGUGGAGAAUCAGCUAGUGGUUCCUUACCACUGCUCCCCAGAGAGGCCCAAGAUUCCAAAUCAGCACCAAGCCACUCUCGCAGGCACUGCAGCUACAGCCCCUCACCGUGUGUGCGGCAGGGAGGGGGCAGAUCUGGGUUCCUUUGUGGUUGGGUUCCCAGGAAAGAGAAGAGCAGCAGCUUCCUAGAGGAAUAUCCACAGUGGGAAAUCUGGAGCCCUGAGUGACCUGGCGGAUUAUGGUCCAGCUGCUACCUGCAUGAACUCAAGUAGAAGUCACACCACGCCAGACCAGCAGCACAGCCUCUGGCGAAUGACCUGGAGUUCAGCCCUUGAGUGCUAAUCCCACCCCACUGUCCUGUGCCCAGCCCUAUAAUCCCAGGGCUUCUAGGACAGGGGAUGCCACUGCUCCUUGUGGAAAGGUCAAACUCUUGUAUUUUCCCAGUCCUCCUCUGGAGCUCUCCUAUUUAUUUGACUCUAAAUUCCUCCCCUCCCCUGGCCUCCCACUGGAAAGUCAGACAGAACAUUCUUCAGGAAAGGGCUGGGUUGGGUAGGAAUAACCAACGUGAAAUGAAAAAAAGCUAGUCAAGUCAGGAAACGUGACUCUCCGCUACCCAAGGAAUGCAGGACGAGCAGCACCGGUCAACAGUCACUGCCGUGAACUCACGACGCUUCUGUGUGUCACCCACCGCUGGGAACUGACAUCAAUCUGGCGCUCUCAGUCACUGGAUGGGCAAGAAGCUCGGCUGCUCUGCUCGCUAAUGGCAGGAAUCUGUGACACACAUCCCUUGCCACCCCCAGCAGCCAGUGCUCAGGCUCUGUGGCGCCUGAGUGUAAAUUAGCAAGCUCCUCACUACCUUAAUACAGAUUGUGCUCUGGGCCAAUUAAACGAGCUACUUCAGGACUAUGCUUCGUUGUAUUGGAAAAUGUCAAGCACGGGGGGAACAUGCAGUCUUAGGUGACGCAUGUCCAAUUGAUGGCCGAGCAAGGGAGAGUGCUUUCGGAACUCUAGAGGCUUUUGUUAUUAAUGGUGUUUUAGUGUUGGGUUCUUAAACACAUCAAACAAAUUUCCUUAGACUGGUAGUUACUGACUGCCACAGGGGAAGACUGUGGGCCUCCCACCUCCCAGAUGGUCCAACCACAAUAAACGCUGGGCCUGUCAGAUGCACAACACUGACGAACUAAUUGAAAUAUGCUGCAGAGAGCAAACCCCACAUAAACGUGAAAUCACUGCCUCCCUGCGCUGUAGCCCACCGACUUGCCUGUGUGUCUGGCUAGCCCUGCUGAUGGAGUGCCCCCGCCCCACACCCCCAAGCCUUGUUGAUGUUCGCUUUUCAAAAGACUUAAAUGCUUUUUUUUUCAGUGUGAUUACCCAAGUGAGAAAAAGUCUAAUUGCAAAAAAACGUUUGCUUUCUCUUCCCCAUUGAAAAGAAAAAAGAAAAUCCAAGAGUCAGUUCUUACAAAGUGGCAAGAAAAGCAAUUAUGGCCUUGGGCAGAGGAAGGGAAGUGUGUGCUGUCCUCAGGAGAGAUAGAUAAGCAGGGCCUGACCACGGGGCAGCCCUACCCCUGGGCCAAGGGGAACUGCUUCUCCUGAAGGACACAGGAAUGUCCACCCAGUCCUACUCAGUACCCACUUCUGACAGGACUCUCAUGUUCCCUUGAGUCCUCCUCAGGGGACCGGGAGUUAUAGGACCUGAUGCCCAAUCCUAGGAGGAAAACACUAGGAAAGAGGAACAGCCUGGGCAGACCCAGGCAAGAAAGGUCCUUGCCGGGAGCCUCUCUCAAAGCAAGCCCUGGGGAUUAGGAGCCCUGGGGAAGGAGCAGGACCUGGAGACCCAUGAACUUUGAAUAGGAAUCCAGAGCAUCUUUGGGAAGAUUCGGUUGUGAGCCUGAGUUUCAGAAACUCUAGCUUGGCCUGAAUACCUCCUUGGGAAAACCACUUCUUUAGGAGGUGAAAACCCACCCACCCCCGGCAGCUUGUAACAAGGGUCAGUUCUGUCACAGGCGGGGGCUGGGCUGCUGUUAUCUCAUGUGUGAGUACCUGGUCCUUCUCUGCUUUUGGAGAAGGGAAAUAGGCCCUGUCCAACAGAAAGUGGGACUUUCUGGAAGAAGGAAAGAAAAGGGCAGAUAGGCCUCCUUUUUUCAGCAUCUAUGAUAACAAGCACACAUGAGAAUCUGCCACCAGCCAGGUCCUGAACUCCUAACCUUCAUUCGCCAAGCACAGGCUAUGAAGCAGCAAGAUUCCCU
rnacentral:lncRNA from 1 species